CUGCCCAACACGCGCCAUGAUAUGCGCGUGUUCAAUUACUGACCUGGUGGCAAAAACUACUAUAGAAGCCAAAAGCCAAAACAACAACGGCAAGGGAAAGGAGCACGCGUCACGUCACCGUACAAUUCCUACUUGUCGCCACCGGUGACGGAACCCGCGGAAAGCACGCAUAAACUUCUAUAGAUACAUAUUCUAUACGUAUAUUUCUAUGCGCUGUCGUUUUUUCGCGUGUCGAAGAAUCCUUAAUAUCAUAAAUUUUCGAAUUCAGCUGAUUGAUUCGUAGUUGGUGAUUCAUUUGCCAUUUUAGGUAAGGAUUUUGUUUGCAGAAUUCAUGGUUUUUCCAAGUUAAUAAAUUUUUUAUUGUCCUUUUUUACCUGGCAUAUUCAUCGUCGAUUUUGUUUUCAUUUUUGAAGGUUUAGUGAUUUGAUUUUAUGGGGCUCUUUAAUCUUUUUAUUUGUGCGUGUAUAUGUGGUGCUGAUGUGUUUUGUUUGAUAUGCAAUUAAAAUUAAUGAUUUCCUGUUCGGGUACAUGGGAAUUUUUAUUUCUAAUUUUGAGUGAAUUUGAUUAUUUUUCCCUUUCGAGAAAAUAAGUUUCCAUGUCUGGUUUCUGUUGUCUGAUUCUCCUGAAAGUAUUACAAUAGUAAGGGUUUAUUGGUCUUAGAUUGGGAUUUGUCGGUAAAACUGGGAGCUGAUGGAAACUAUAGUUGAUGUUAGAUUGACUAUCGGGUUUGGAGGUUUUCUUUCAUGUUAGCUAAAAUCAUAAUAGUCAAUUACCUCCCAGAAUGGAAAUCUCUCAAUGCACGGGUAUUAAGUUUUCGUCCUAUCAGGCAUAAAGUUUAAAAUUGGCUUUCACUAAGCCAUCAAGUCGUUAUGACCCUAAUCUGGGGAAGUUACUCUACAAGCUACUAUUUCUGAAAUCAACAAGGGCAACAAAUAUUUAAGAUAAACUUUUGAGGGAAUUACUGUUGCAGGUGACUGGUUAGUUAGACGUGCCAAUGGGUAUGUCAUGCCUAUGCAAGAUUCAACUUUAAGACACUAGAACACUACUAAUAUUUUAUAAGAUGAUGACCAUAUGAAAAUUUCUUUGCUAAUUGUCUUCUUUGAAGUUUGUCUUAAUCGCCAUUCUUGCAAACGUAAUUGAUUGGCAGGAUUUUUCGUAGAUUUAAUUUGAUGAAUAUAUUGAGCACUUUGUUGAGGAGUUCCCAUUUGUUGUUACUGGGGUGACCACUGAUACUGAUUGUGUUCCUAGUUCACAGAGAGGCACACUUGCAUAUAUGUUACUGACUUUUUGGAAGUCUACAAAGUCAUAACUUUGAGGAGAGAAACACGCAAAUCAUAGAAACUGGGCAUCUGAGCCAUACUUUUUUUUUUUUUUUUGGAAAACUAAGCUUAGGAAAGCAUAGAAGUCUUAAUUUCAUUACAAACCCGACUUCCCCGCAGAUGUUCUGGUACCUUUUCAAGCUCAGCUGACAGUGUUUGAUUCAAUUUUCUUGCCUCUGCUUAUUUGAUAUAUGUGGAAAUGUGGAUUCUCAAGCCAAUGCCGUUAAUCUGUGUUCAUGGUUACAUCAUGACUCUCAGUUUUAAUUUCAUGCAAGGAAAAGCUUAGCACUGUGUAUGAUGACUAUGCAGGUAGGAGAAACAAAAUUAGCUUUAAGAGUUUAGUUCUUGCACUCUUUGAAAGCUACCAGUGAU
rnacentral:lncRNA from 1 species